GUAGAUGAUGAAUAUGCACUGGGCUCAGAGCAGUUUUUGUAGAGAUGGAUAUUUGCAACCCAGAAAGCCAUGUCUGAUCU